rnacentral:lncRNA from 1 species
GACCGUUUUAAUGUGGCUAUGCUUGACGUGUGCGAUCUGGAUCAUUCAGUCAUGAUGUCCGUGAUGAUGAGCGGACUAUAGAAGAAUAAUUUGAAAAAAUAAUUAAUCAAAACUUAUCCUUGGGACUUUCCCGAUCUGUUGGCAAGGGUGGAGAAAUAUGCCUGCUUGGAAGAGGCUUUCACGGAGGAUGAGACUCCCGCCAAUCCUGUGGAUGGAGGCAGAGAUAGGAUGCAGAGCAAGGAAUCAUCACCCGCAAAGGAGGCAGGAGUAAGUCGGCAUUCAAGAUCACCUUUCCACCGCCAAAAAAAAGGGCCCCCUAGGAACCAUCGAUCGAGAAGCCCCGAAAAGAGGAAUCAGUGAG